AUUCUUCGGGGCGGGGUGAAAUUCCCCACCGGCAGUUAAAGCCUGCGAGCCUGUUAAAAACGGGUUGAUUUGGUGAAAUUCCAAAGCCGACGGUACAGUCCGGAUGGUAGAAGAA
rnacentral:ncRNA from 1 species